AACUGCCUGACCCAGUUAGUAGCCAUCCCAAUAAACGACCUCAAGUUGUCCCUCCCCCUACUUUGCCUCUACCUACUGGACACCCUACCUGAUCUACCCAACCAUGUCAGUAUUGUGGCCACUUGUAUUGUGAUUAGCCUUGUCGCUGUUUGAACAACGCCUACUAUAAGUGCGGAAACACUCAUCACUUUGUGAAAGACUGUCUCAGCGGCCGAAGGACAUGGUCAGACUAGUAGCCCAGGGUUGUGUUUACCACAUGGAUGAACACAGUGCCCUCACUGCUCCUAACUUUAUCCAAGGGAUGCUUUCCAUUCAUGAUAUAUUUGCUCGAGCUCUGAUUGAUACAAGUGCUACCCACUUUUUGUUUCUUGAUCAUUUGCUUAUAAGUUAGAUAUCAGGCCUGAACCUUUAAAUGAAGUG
rnacentral:lncRNA from 1 species